GUGUUCGUGUUCAGCUCUUUAAUAACCUCUCUCAACCUUGCGUGGCGGCGUGCCCUAAAUCCUAAUUACUAAACUCUCUCUUUAUCGUCAUUUUAUUCGUUCGAUCUUCCGCCACUCUUCUUCCUUUGCGGAAGGGAAGCAAAAAAACCCUAAUUCAUGUCAAGUUCCUACGGCUCCGGUGGACCUGAUGACACUGCGCAGCCUCCUCGCGGCGGCGGUUACGGACGAGGCCGUGGAGGCGGCGGCGGGUACGGUGGAAACCAGGGGAAUCGAGGUGGAAGCGGCGGCUACGGUGGCGGUGGCGGUGGCGGUGGCUAUCAAGGCGGAGAUCGUGGAAACCGGGGAGGUGGCGGUGGACCCCGAGGCGGUGGUCGUGGUGGCGGAGUUGGUCGGGAGGGAGAUUGGCGAUGCCCCAACUCCAGUUGCGGAAAUAUGAACUUCGCAAGAAGAGUGGAGUGCAACAAGUGUGGAGCUCCGUGUCCCGGUGGUGGGCGUGGUGGUGGUUCUGGUGACAGCAACAGAGGAGGUGAUGGUGGCGGUGGUUUCAAUAGAGGUGGUGGUGGUGAUUAUAAUGAUGGUCAAGGUGGUGCCCGUGGUAGUUAUAACAACCGGGGCGGUGGAUAUUCUGGGAACCGUGGUGGUAGAAGUGAUUAUGAAGGAAGAGGUGGAGAUUUUGGGGGAAGAGGUGCUUCUUAUAAUGAUAAUAAUCGAGAGCGAGAGGAUGACAGAUAUGGUCAAGUUGCACUGCCUCCCUCAGCUGGUUAUGGCGGUCCUGGUGGUGCUGCUGGGAAUUAUACUCCUCCCAAUUGUUACGGUGCAAAUAGUGCCUAUGCUGGUGAUUCUGUUACACCUCCUAGUAAUUAUGGUGGCCCUAAUUCUUACCCUCCUCCAUACGGUGUACCCCCUCCAAAUGCAUAUUCUAAUGAAGGUUCUUUGGCUCGUGGUGGUCCACCAUCUAGCUAUGGCGGUCCACCAUCCAGACAUGGUGGUGGAUAUGGUGAUCGUGGGAACCCUGGCCGUGGUGGUGGUGCUCCACCUCGCCACGAGGGUGGUGCGUAUGGUGCUGCUCCUACUGAUGCUGGCGCUCAGAUCAAACAAUGUGAUGAAAGCUGUGGAGAAUCUUGUGAUAACUCGAGGAUCUACAUCUCAAACUUGCCUCCUGAUGUGACUACAGAUGAGCUACGUGACCUUUUUGGAGGAAUCGGUCAGGUUGGCAAGCUCAAGCAAAAGCGAGGCUACAAAGACCAGUGGCCUUGGAAUAUAAAGAUAUAUACAGAUGAAUCUGGGAAUAACAAAGGAGAUGCUGUGCUCUCAUAUGAAGAUCCUGCUGCUGCUCAUUCUGCCGGAGGCUUCUAUAAUAACUACGACAUGAGAGGGUACAAGAUUAAUGUUGCAAUGGCAGAGAAGACUGCACUCAAAGCAGCCCCUUCAUAUGAUGGUGGCAGAGGGGGUUAUGGUGGAGGAGAUCGACGUAGAGAUAAUUAUAAUGGUGGUGGUGGACCUGAGAGGCACCAGUACGGCGGCCAGCGAUCUCGACCGUAUUAGGCUGAGUUAUGUGUUCUGAGAAUCUCUACUGAGUUCUCUUUCUAGUGAUAGUCACUUUGUACUCAAAAUUGGAGCAUAAGAUGCAUGUGGAAUUAAUCUCCAAACUGCUGCUAGAUUUGAAAAUUACAGAUUUCUUUAGUGCCUGGCUCGAACACAUUAACAGCAGCUUUCAUUACUGAUGGAAAUUAGUGUUGCAUUCCAUCUUUUACCCUUGCUGUCUUCUUUCACUUUAAAAUAUGGGACUUUUUCUCCCCUGAACCAGCCAACUGAUCUCAUAACUGUAGUUACUUCUGAACUAAACGAACACUGUAAGGUUGGGUGCAAAUCAAUAUUUGUUCAAUUCUAGAUCAUAGGUUCUUAGGUUAUCUUGGUGCACAGCUUGCUUGCUAAGCUCGAGUUAUGAAAAUUAAGAUGGUGGCCUUCAUUUCUUUUAAAAUUAGCACUGUUUUUCUUAUUGGCACAUAGUUUCAUUACUAUGAACACGGUCAUAGGAAACACAAAGGGUUUUCCCCGAGUGUGAAGGACAAAUGUUGCUUUAGAAUAUUUUGUAUGUAUUUACAGGAUUUAUUAUUCCCGUGCAU